rnacentral:miRNA from 1 species
GGGGGGGGGGGGGGGGGGGGGGGGGGGGGGGGGGGCGGGGGAGGGCAUGUCCCAGCGCUGCCGCUGACAAGCAAC